GUGACGAGUUUGAUCAUGGCUCAGAUUGAACGCUGGCGGCAGGCUUAACACAUGCAAGUCGAGCGGAGACUUCGGUCUUAGCGGCGAACGGGUGAGUAACACCUAGGAAUCUGCCUAUUAGUGGGGGAUAACGUGUGGAAACGCACGCUAAUACCGCAUACGUCCUACGGGAGAAAGCAGGGGAUCUUCGGACCUUGCGCUAAUAGAUGAGCCUAGGCCGGAUUAGCUAGUUGGUGGGGUAAAGGCCUACCAAGGCGACGAUCUGUAGCUGGUCUGAGAGGAUGGCCAGCCACACUGGAACUGAGACACGGUCCAGACUCCUACGGGAGGCAGCAGGUGGGGAAUAUUGGACAAUGGGGGCAACCCUGAUCCAGCCAUGCCGCGUGUGUGAAGAAGGCCUUCGGGUUGUAAAGCGCUUUAAGCGAGGAGGAAAGUUUUAGGUUAAUACCCUAAAGAAUUGACGUUACUCGCAGAAUAAGCACCGGCUAACUCUGUG
rnacentral:rRNA from 1 species